rnacentral:rRNA from 1 species
AAACAACUCUCAGCAACGGAUAUCUUGGCUCUUGCAACGAUGAAGAACGCAGCGAAAUGCGAUACGUAGUGUGAAUUGCAGAAUUCCGCGAAUCAUCGAGUCUU